rnacentral:rRNA from 1 species
UACGUAGGGUGCAAGCGUUGUCCGGAAUUAUUGGGCGUAAAGAGCUCGUAGGCGGUUCGUCGCGUCGGCUGUGAAAACCUGAGGCUCAACCUCAGGCCUGCAGUCGAUACGGGCGGACUUGAGUACUGCAGGGGGAGACUGGAAUUCCUGGUGUAGCGGUGAAAUGCGCAGAUAUCAGGAGGAACACCGGUGGCGAAGGCGGGUCUCUGGGCAGUAACUGACGCUGAGGUGCGAAAGCGUGGGGAGCAAACAGG